UAGAGAAAUAUCUUUUUAUUUAGUAUACUAAAGAAAAAUUUUUAUUGUUAUAGUAAAAUAGUACUGUGAAGGAAUUGAUGAAAUAAAUGAAAAUGUAAUUUUUUAAAAGUAUACUUUAUUUGUAGUACCUUUUGUAUCAGGGUUGAUCAAAUAAAUUAAUUUAUAUUUUUAUCUCGAUUUCAAAAGAUCUAAUUUAUUAUUAUGGUUAAUGUAGCAUAAUUAUCAUUAAUAUAAAUUAGAGGAGAAAUUCUAUUCGAUUUUGAAGGUAUCUAGUUUUUUUAGAAAUAAAUUUAAUUUAUCCUUGAACCUUAACUGUUAAUUUUAAUUAUAAGUUAUACUUUCAAGUAAAAAAUUAUAGGGGAUAAGCUCUAUAUUGUUCUAUAAAAUUUUUGUUUAAUUAAUUUCUGUAGGUUUAAAAUUAUCCAUCAGUAAUAAGUGUGUUAUAAUUUAUUUUUUUUAUUAAUCAAUUUUAUUAUUUUUAGAAUUCUAUGAAAAUAUUAUAAUUAAUUUUAUAUUAUAAGAAAUAAUGAUUAAAUUAGUAUAAUAAUAUGUUCAAAUAAAUUGAAUAUUUAUGAUAAAAUAAGGAACUCGGCAAAUACAGUUCCCGCCUGUUUAACAAAAACAUGGCCUUUUGAAUUUAAUUUAAGGUCUGACCUGCCCAGUGAUAAUUUUAACGGCCGCGGUAUACUGACCGUGCAAAGGUAGCAUAAUCAUUAGUCUUUUAAUAGAGGGCUGGAAUGAAAGGUUUCACGAGGAACUAGCUGUCUCAUUUUAUUUGUUUUAAAAUUUAAUUUUUUAGUCAAAAAGCUAAAAUGCAAUUGGUAGACGAGAAGACCCUAUAGAUCUUUAUAUAAUUUUAAAUACUUAUUUAUAUAUUAAUAUUUUUAUUUAAAAUUGUAUUUUGUUGGGGUGACAAAAAUAUAUAAUUAACUUUUUUAUUUACAUAACAUUGAUAUAUGAAUAUUAGAUCCAUUAUUAGUGAUUGAUAGAUUAAGUUACCUUAGGGAUAACAGCGUAAUCCUCCUCCAGAGUUCAUAUUUACAGGAUGGGCUUGCGACCUCGAUGUUGGAUUAAGAUAAUAAUUAGGUGUAGCCGCUUAAUUUAUAGGUCUGUUCGACCUUUAAAUUCUUACAUGAUCUGAGUUCAGACCGGUUUAAGCCAGGUCGGUUUCUAUCUCCAAUUUUAUUUAAUUUUUAGUACGAAAGGACCAAAAUUAAGAAAUAAUUUUUUUAAUUGAAUACCAUUAACUAUUUUGGCAGAAAAGUGCCAUGAAUUUAGAAUU
rnacentral:rRNA from 1 species